GUACUCUUCUCUCCCAAUCUAGUCUGCAGCCGCUCUUUCACCUAAAUUUCAUACUUGGCUGGGCAUUGGCACUUGGAUGUCCUACAGACCCUUCAAAUUCAGCAUGCUCCUUUUGUGCCUUGGCUUGAGAAUUCAGACUGCUUUCCAGGGCACUGUCAUUCCACUAUCAUCUUCUACUUUCAAACAGUAAGGCUUCCUAACUUGUUUCAUGUCCCCAAUCUCAGCCACUUCCUCACUUCCUUCCACCACUGUCAGAGUUGGUUUUUCAAAAAUGAAAAUAUGUUCAUGUUCACCUCCCUUUCUAAAACCUAUUGGUGAUUCCAUUGCCCUCAGAAUCAGUCCACCGUAGCAUUGCAUAAAAGAUGCGUUCUUGAUCUGGCCCUGCUUACUUUUCCUGCAUCACCUUUUUGCCACAGCACCACACAGUGCCUAGUUUUCUGAAAGAAAUUUCCUUUUGUCUGUUGCCUCCUGCACUUUGCCUCUGCUCUUCCCCUACCUGCCUUUCUCUCUCUGCCCAUCUUUCCACUUUCCCCUACUCUUGGUUAACUUUUUUGAAUCUCUCAGAUCUCAUCUCUCACAAGUUGGUUGAGGAGCCUUUUCUCUCUGCUUCCAUAAGCAUUCUGUACUUAUUCCUAUUACAGCCAGCAUUUAUCAUAGUACAUUGUAAUUGUCCCUUGUCUGUUUUCUCCCCUUAAAUGGUAAAACUCGAGAAGAACAGCAGUGUCUUACCACUGUGCCCUCAGGAUCUAGCAUCUACAUUUGUUUUAAUGGAUGAAUUAAUAUACCCUUGGUUAUAAGAAAGAUAUUUUCUUUUCUUCACUGUAGUGGAACUAAAGCUGGGCUACAAUUAGCCUUUGGAAUCCAUAUCAUAUUCCAACCUUAUUGGUGAGGUUUCAGCCCUCUGAAAAGCUAAAUAUAUAAACUCUUGGACCUUUGAAAUAAGUAGAAUAGUCCUUUUCCAGUCUAGUGAGUUGUAAUAAGGAAACAUAAAUUGUCCAAAGUCUUAAGUGUUUAAAAAGAACCUUACCUUCAAUAAUUCUAUGAAAAUUCCUAGGAAAAUUUUCUGAGUUAUCUUUUUUCCUUUAGAGCCUGGGAAAAGAUUUUUUCCUUUCUUUCUUCAGGCUGUGUGUGUAAUUCUUUUCUUUACUCAGGCAUCUGGUUACAGUGACUUUGAAUUAAUUAUAACGAAUACAUGAGAAACAAAAGAAUCAAAUGACCUUUGUUAUACAAAUACAUUUGUACUUAAAUGUUGCCUAAGAACAGGUGGCUGAAUCUCAGAAGACCCACAAAUUUAUCUGGUGAGCAAAUCGUGAAUACAAAACAUUAUCUUACUAUUGUUUGUGUUCUAGAUAUAAUGCCUAAAAUUCCAAUUAACAUAGUUGUUAAUUAUCCUACUACCACUGAUACAAAUAGCUUUUAAAUCUACCUUUGUUACUUAUUUGCAGAGGAACAUAGAAUUUUAAUGUUCAUGAAUGCUGGCAAUGAGUUGAAAGAAGGGUAGUAAUGCACUUAAAAACCUCUCUAACACAACUCUGUGUGUAUUCUUUGAAAAAAAAUGUGUGUAUAUUCUCUGUUACCUUCUUGGUGACUACCCAUUUUGUAGAUUGAACCUGGGUUCUCUGCUCAGUGCCUUUUUCACUGAUUGGCCACUUUCUGGUCCACAUCAGCCUCUGGUCUCUUCUUCCCAUAAGAUUCCUUCUUAGAAGUCAUAACCCUGUGAUGGUUAUCUUUAUUUCCUUGCCUUUACAUCAUCAUCAGGGGUAGGCAUAUUUUUAUCUACUCUUAAUUGCUUUCCUCUUGAUAUCUGUUAGUAUCAGAAAAGCCAGUCAAACCUAACAGGAUCUCAUCUAUUUUUCUGUUCUUGGUAUGCUUCUAAUUUCACUGUUCAUACUUCCUCAAAGUAUGCAUUCUCAUAGCUUUGAUCUUUUUUUUUUUUAAGAUUUUAUUUAUUUAUUCAUGAGAGAGAGAGAGAGAGAGAGAGGAGAGAGGCAGAGACACAGGCAGAGGGAGAAGCAGGCUCCAUGCAGGGAGCCGGAUGUGGGACUCAAUCCCGAGUCUCCAGGAUCACGCCCUGGGCUGAAGGUGGUGCUAAAUCACUGAGGCGCCCAGGCUGCCCUGAAACCAUUUUUCUGAACCAUUUCCUUAAGCAACAUUGUUAGGAAGAGUAAUAACCCAUUCUCUUUUCAGUCCUCCCUUAAUAGAUUUCUCUUGGUCUCUGUUUGUAACUUCAUUAUUAAUAUGUAGCAUAGUUAAAUUGAAUAAAAUGAAUUUCUUAAAAUUCUAAUCAAUAAAUCAAAACUUAAUUUGGUUAGGUGUUAGGUGUUAGGUGUUUGGUUAGGAGGAGCAGGAACAAGCCAAGAUAUGAGUUUGAGCUUUUCCAAGAGUUUAUUUUUAAAGCAUGAUUAACCAUAAAAGGGAAACAUCUCAGUUGCUUUGUGCUGGAUUUUUCAGUUAGACAUGCAACUCUCUUUGAAAUCCAUGUGAGCCAAGUUUACAAACAUAGUUGCAGGUCUUUGACAUAUUCUUGUUAUUGAUACUGUUCUAGUAAAAGGAAGAACACAUUUAUAUAUGUUUAUUCUAAGAGAACUAUGCUUAUAUGUGAUAAUAUCGUAACUACCAAAACAUAGACCUUCUCAUCAACUGCUGCUUACCUUAAUUGCCAUACAAGGCCACUGAGUUGGCAAGCUGAGCAUGAGAGAUGAACCUGUGAAUACUUUUACUAUUUCUACAACAAAUUGAGUCUUUCUGAACAUCCAUGAGUUGAUCUGUCAUUUGCCAUUUAAAUAAAAGUCUGCAUUUAAAUUAGAGGAUUACUUUGUGGUCUUUCAAAAUGUUCCUUUUCCCACAUAUUUUUAUCAGUAUCAGUUUGCUUUUCUGUCUGCUACCUGGUGGGAUUAUCUGUCUCUAAGGUAGGUGCUUGUUUGUUGCUUUUGUUUUUGAAAUUUAAGAAAUAGUAUUUGUAUUUUGACAGUUCAGAUAUUUUCUUAAUACUGAUAUGAACAUUGAAUAUAAUUAUACUUGAAUAGUAUAAGAUUUAUGAAGUUGGCAGUAGAAAACCACUAAAAGAUACCCACAAUUUAAGCUUAAUGAAUCUAAAUCAUUUGAUUUUUCAUUCUACUAUGUUCAAUGUUUAAUAAGCUAUUUUUUGUUAUAGUAUAGUCAUGUAUACUAGAAAAGCUGUUGUGAGUUGCUGCUACCUACAUCAUACAUAAAGUUAUAGAAAUAAUCAGAUUGGAAUGUUCUGACAUUAAUUGAUAAGGUCCAGAGUUUAUUAUUUCCAAUUGUACUGUUGAUUUAACUCUGGAAGUUUGUGUGUUAAAUUCCUUUUUUUUUUUUUUCACUAAGAAAUUUUGUCUUUAUUUUAACAUUCAGCUGAAGAGGUGUAAUCUUUAACAAAAUUAUAAUUUUAAAAAUUAGGUUGUGAAUAUUUAGCAUGCUCUGGUCCUAAACAAUGUAAUUGUGUUUGCAGUGAAUAAAUUGUUAACCUAAAAUAGAAAGAACUCUUACAUGAAUUAGGAUAGUUUUUUUUUUUCCAAAUCCUCAGCCAGCUGUGAACAUACAACUAAAUACUAUUACAGUUCACAGAGAAAACAGUAUAUUGUGUGCUAAUAUAUUUUUAGGAGCUUUUACAUGAUUGUUUUUGGAGUGGGAAAAUACAACUUAAAGAAGUAGACAGGGAUCCCUGGGUGGCGCAGCGGUUUAGCACCUGCCUUUGGCCCAGGGCGCGAUCCUGGAGACCCGGGAUCGAAUCCCACGUCAGGCUCCCGGUGCAUGGAGCCUGCUUCUCCCUCUGCCUGUGUCUCUGCCCCUCUCUCUCUCUCUCUGUGACUAUCAUAAAUUAAAAAAAAAAAAAAA
rnacentral:lncRNA from 1 species